CUAAACGCUCAGCAAAGUAAUUGAACGUUGAACUUUAAUCAUAACAUUUGUAAAAAGUCGUUGAAAAGCAACAUGUACUCGCGUUGAUA